rnacentral:ncRNA from 1 species
CACAAACCGUUGAGAAAGAGAAGUAGGCCGGAUUGAUACAUCACAGAGAGCCGCGCACAGGUGGAAGCGCAGUAUGAAGCAGCUGGCUGAAUGGACUUUCGAGGGCGUUCCCGAUACCGGUAUUUGGAGGUAGGGAGCGACGGAAACCGCAUCCGUUAUCUUCGCGGCAUAUAUGUUAGUAUAUGAAAGAGUGGACUUUACGUCAAUUAUGGGUGGUACCGCGGAUUUGUUAAUUCGUCCCAGAU